UAAUCUCAGCUAGUAAUUAUGAGUAGUUUCGAUAGUCUCAAGUUACUAGCCAAGAUUAUA
rnacentral:pre_miRNA from 1 species